rnacentral:rRNA from 1 species
UACAGAGGGUGCAAGCGUUAAUCGGAAUUACUGGGCGUAAAGCGCACGUAGGCGGACUGCUAAGUCGGGGGUGAAAUCCUGAGGCUCAACCUCAGAAUUGCCUUCGAUACUGGCGGUCUCGAGUGCGGGAGAGGUGAGUGGAAUUCCCAGUGUAGAGGUGAAAUUCGUAGAUAUUGGGAAGAACACCGGUGGCGAAGGCGGGUCUCUGGGCAACAACUGACGCUGAGGAGCGAAAGCGUGGGGAGCGAACAGG